rnacentral:rRNA from 1 species
AGUGAACGCUGGCGGUAGGCCUAACACAUGCAAGUCGAACGGCAGCACAGUAAGAGCUUGCUCUUACGGGUGGCGAGUGGCGGACGGGUGAGGAAUACAUCGGAAUCUACUUUUUCGUGGGGGAUAACGUAGGGAAACUUACGCUAAUACCGCAUACGACCUACGGGUGAAAGCAGGGGAUCUUCGGACCUUGCGCGAUUGAAUGAGCCGAUGUCGGAUUAGCUAGUUGGCGGGGUAAAGGCCCACCAAGGCGACGAUCCGUAGCUGGUCUGAGAGGAUGAUCAGACACACAGGACCUGAGGAGCAGGCCAGACCCUGGAGGGGGGACGGAGGGGGGAAUUUUGGAAAAGGGGGGAAAGCCUGAACAAGCCACACCGCGGGGGUGAAGAAGGCCUGCGGGUUGUAAACCCCUUUUUUUGGAAAAGAAAAGCAGCGGGUUAAGCCCCCGUUUUUUUGACGGGACCAAAAAAAAAAGCCCCGGCAAAUUUGGU